AGUGAACGUUGGCGGCGUGGAUUAGGCACGCAAGUCGAGCGAGAACCGUAGCAAUACGGGGACAGCGGCGAAAGGGACAGUAAUGUGUAGGUACCUACCCCGAGGUCUGGGAUAGCUACGGGAAACUGCAGGUAAUACCGGAUAAUGUCUUCGGACCAAAGGUGUGAUUCCACCUUGGGAGGGGCCUGCAUCCUAUUAGCUUGUUGGCGGGGUAACGGCCCACCAAGGCGACGAUGGGUAGCGGGUGUGAGAGCACGACCCGCGUCAUUGGGACUGAGACACUGCCCAGACACCUACGGGUGGCUGCAGUCGAGGAUCUUCGGCAAUGGGCGCAAGCCUGACCGAGCGACGCCGCGUGCGGGAUGAAGGCCUUCGGGUUGUAAACCGCUGUCGUAGGGGAGGAAAUGCAGGUGGGUUCUCCCUCCUGAUUGACCUAUCCUAGGAGGAAGUACGGGCUAAGUUCGUGCCAGCAGCCGCGGUAA
rnacentral:rRNA from 1 species